UAUCACCUCUCAAGCCUGGCUUGCUGUUGGAUCUUGGUUAUAGUCUAGCUACAACCUAUCCUAAAGAUAAUGACGGCGUCUAUGAGGACUCCAGUACACUGAGCAUUUUAUGCACGUACGAGGUAGAACCUUAGGCCCGGUCUUACUUCAUUUUUAUCAAGGUUGACCUCGGAUCAGGUAGGAAUACCCGCUGAACUUAA
rnacentral:misc_RNA from 1 species